CGGGGCGUAGCUUAGCCCGGCCAAAGCGCGCGCUUUGGGAGCGCGAGACCGCCAGUUCAAAUCUGGCCGCCCCGACAA
rnacentral:tRNA from 1 species